UACGAAGGGGGCUAGCGUUGCUCGGAAUCACUGGGCGUAAAGCGCACGUAGGCGGACUCUUAAGUCGGUGGUGAAAUCCCGGGGCUCAACCUCGGAACUGCCUUUGAUACUGCGGAUCUCGAGUCCGAUAGAGGUGGGUGGAAUUCCUAGUGUAGAGGUGAAAUUCGUAGAUAUUAGGAAGAACACCGGUGGCGAAGGCGGCCCACUGGAUCGGUACUGACGCUGAGGUGCGAAAGCGUGGGGAGCAAACAGG
rnacentral:rRNA from 1 species